AGGAGGCAGCAGUGGGGAAUAUUGGACAAUGGGGGCAACCCUGAUCCAGCAAUGCCGCGUGUGUGAAGAAGGCCUGCGGGUUGUAAAGCACUUUCAGUGGAGAAGAAAAGCUCGGGGCUAAUACCUCCGGGUCUUGACGUUAUCCAAAGAAGAAGCACCGGCUAACUCCGUGCCAGCAGCCGCGGUAAUACGGAGGGUGCGAGCGUUAAUCGGAAUUACUGGGCGUAAAGCGCACGUAGGCGGUCGUGUAAGUCGGAUGUGAAAGCCCUGGGCUUAACCUGGGAACUGCACCCGAUACUGCACGGCUAGAGUAUGGGAGAGGGAAGCGGAAUUUCCGGUGUAGCGGUGAAAUGCGUAGAUAUCGGAAGGAACACCAAUGGCGAAGGCAGCUUCCUGGCCCAAUACUGACGCUCAGGUGCGAAAGCGUGGGGAUCAAACAGGAUUAGAUACCCCCGUAGUC
rnacentral:rRNA from 1 species